UACAGAGGUCUCAAGCGUUGUUCGGAUUCAUUGGGCGUAAAGGGUGCGUAGGUGGCGGGGUAAGUCGGAUGUGAAAAUCCGGGGCUCAACCCCGGACCUGCAUCCGAAACUGCCCGACUAGAGGUAGGUAGGGGAGAUCGGAAUUCCUGGUGUAGCGGUGAAAUGCGCAGAUAUCAGGAGGAACACCGGUGGCGAAGGCGGAUCUCUGGGCCUUACCUGACGCUCAGGUGCGAAAGCUAGGGGAGCGAACAGG
rnacentral:rRNA from 1 species